GACUUGGUUUUUGAAGUAGGAUCCAAGGAUCCAAAGUAUUUUUCAAGUUGAGACAAUUUCGUCAAAACUCCUUAAGUAAAGUUUUCUGCAAGAAGCUUGCAACAAACUUUUAUGGACCAUUCAAGGUCCUUGAGAAGAUUUGUCAGAUUGCUUAUAGAUUGGAGCUUCUAGAGAUUUUUAAAAUCUAUAUAGUAUUUUACGUGUCCCAGUUAAAGCUGGUUUUGGACAAGGAACAUGAAGUCACAAAUUUACCAUUUUUAUUGGAGGAGAAUGAUGUGUUUGUCCUACAGACAGAACAUAUAUAAUGUAUUUUUCAUGAUGUUGAAGGUCCUCUUAAGGCUUUGAUUCAUUGGAAGGGUUUACCGGUUCAUGAGAGUUCAUGGAUGCAAGUAAAAAAUAUUUCAUAUAAUUCCCCCAUUUCGAGCUUGAGGAAAAGCUUGCUCUCGCCGAUGGGGGUAUUGAUAAGAGCUGGAGAUAAUAUUAUGGAAAGAGAUUGAAGAAGAACACUAAAUCUGAUGUGGAUCAAAAUGAAGAAGGAGAUUAAUAGAUUUACGCGGGAAGUUGUUGGCUAAUUAAGAUUUUGUUAAGUCAUUUAGACUUAGCAAAUACAAAUUCUAAAUAAGGGCUUUAGAAGUUGUUAGAUGUCCGGCUUAUUUUAGAAGAUUUGAGUCUUUGGUAUGAACAUGAGAUUGGGAUUGACUCGUGUAUCCCACGAGUUAAGAGUGUAAUACAUUUCAUAUUAGUGGUUUGCGCUAUGCGUGCAGGGUGGCUGUCCUUUGUUAUAAUUUGGAUUUUCUCGAUGUAGCAUAUUUUGAUUGGUGGAUGGUAUUUUGAAAGUUUUAGUUAUAUGUUAGAAGAUGAAGCAAUAUCUGGAUCUAUGGUGUUGCUAAUGGUUUUAUGGUUUAAGUAGUGUAGGUAGAUAGUAAGAAAGCUGUGAAUUGUAUAAAAUAGUCCCAUCAUUUGUAGUUUAAUUUUAGGAAGUAAUCUUAAUUUUUUUAAGUGACAUGUAUUAUUUGUCUUUAUUGAUGUUAUUUGUUUUUAUAUAAUAAAAUAAUGGUGUGAAUUGAAAAUAUUUCUUAAUGAGGAUAUAUUAUUAAUUAUCUUGUAUGGAAAUGAAAAACCAAAGUAGUAAAUACUUCACAAAUAAAAUUGGAAAUUAAAACAUGAUAUUUCAUGUUAUUAAUCAUAUUGAGGGUGGAAUCAUAGAUUAUUUUCCCUUCAGCUUUUAUUUGUACGAAGCCAUUGAUCAAUGCAUGUAAAAUAAAAAUUAUGGCCGCAAGUAAGAGAGCAAAGUUUGUUUCCAUAGAUGUAAUUUCCGAAGCAUAUAGUGCAUAUAUUGUUUUCUUCUUAUGUAGUUGGAGGCCUAUUUGUUUCCUCUAUAUCUGUGAUGAUAAGAUCAACACAAGUCUUGCAGUCGCAUUUUGGUUGUAGUCCCAUAUGGUAAGAGUAACUUGGAGAUCAUUAGUUAUGGUAUUGUAGCCGUUUGGUAGCUUAUUCAUGACGUAUUCAGUAGUCUCUUGAAUAAUUAAGGUUGACUCGGGGUGGUGAAUGUGAUGGUAUUUUAGCAUAAAUUCCAUAUACUCAAUUGUUGAGUCUUUUAAAUUACCUAGAUUGUCAAUGAUACACGGUAGCUAGAAAUCAAUGAUGGAUUGUUAUGUGUUGUAGACUUGUAGUGUUGAGAUGGGCCUAUGGAUGUAGACUUGCAGUGUUUGCCGUGGAUUUGCUCCUGUAGAUUAUGUUUGGUGUGAGAGCUGAUAAGAAAGAAGUGGCUCGUUAUUCAUGGUGUAGUAUUUUGUGUGAGGAUAAGUUUUUUGUAGUUAUGUUUUAUAGAAGGUGAGUUUAAAUUUUUUUUUUCUUUAAUUCUUCAACCGUUUAGUUCAAAGGUCCAUUUAUUCAAAGGCGUUAACAUUUUGAGUCAAUGGUUUGUGAUAAAUUUGUUGUUUUGUCUACGUUGAGUUGUUACUUAUUUUGUAGAAUAUGUAUAAUGAUGUGUAGUGUGUAUUUGUAUGAGAAAUGAAUAAUAUUAGUGAUUUUUUGUAUUUGCAUGAUUCUCAUAAUUAGGUUUUUCUUAGUAUUAUAGAUGUUCAUUUGGAAAUAUAUUUAUUUGUUUUUGCAGAUGGUGGGUCCGCGUCAGUUAUACCAGGGCCUGCGUUAGUUAUACCAAAAUAUACUUGUUUUAUUAUUUAUACGCGCAGACGGUGUAAAUAUAUUUGUUUGUUUAUUUAUGGGCCAAUAAAUAAACAUAAAGGUCCAAGAAAAGGAAAUAAGAGAAGUUGUCUCUCUGCUCGACACAUUGUAGAGUUUUUCUAGUCAACUUUAUUAUCCCUUUUUUAUUGAUACAUUUCCAUCACGUCAAAUUUAUUACGAAUCAAAUGUCGCACCGUUGUUGUUUCCUAAAACACAUGGUGAUUGUCAAUCAUGUCAUUAUGAAUCGGAGAAUCUGUUAUGAAUCUAACCUAUACUAAAAGGUGAAUAUGGAGUGUUUCUAGCAUGUCCACGUAGGUUAAUAUAUUUGACCAAUCAAAACAUUCCAAUAAUACACGCUGGCAAAAGACACGAAGCUCUUGCUUUCGUAUGGGCUCUGCUGUGUUUCGAUGGGCUUCGUCGGUUAGCAUUGGGCUUUGCUACCCGGUUCAAUUAAAAAAAAAAUUUUCAACCCAAGAUGGAUAACACGAGGCUCUACGCUUCUCGCUCUUCGUCUUCACCGUUUCUUCACCAUCGUUUCAGUUCUCUCGAUCCAGAACUCCACAAUCAAUACUCCACUACAUCUCCAUCCAUCAAUUCCUUCUUUAUGAUUUCGAAGAAGAUGGGUUCAUGUGACAUCUGUAUGAAUGGAUUCAAUAUCUGGGAGAUUGAGAUAUUGGUGGACAGCCGCCACUCCGUUAUUUGACGACUCAUCAGGGGUUUCUCCAACAGGCACAUCAGGGGAUGGAUUCACCAAUUGUAGUCUCACUAAUUUAGGCUUUGGUCCUCUCAGAUUCUCAUCUUUCCUGAAGCUUAAAAGAGAUCUCAAAACGUCGGCAGCCAGCCAUAAUCACCAAAGUCCAGAGGAUUAUGAUCCAACUAAUUGUAUGUUUCCUAUAAUCUUUUCUCUUUCAUUUAUGUGUUGGUAUUGUUUUCUUUGUAUUGUUUGAUUGAAUUUGCUUUGUUUUGCGGUGUUUUUGCGGUGGCUCCCUAACUUGAAUUGUAGGUUUCUUCAAAGUUUAAGCUCCAAAACAAUGGAUUUGAACGGUUUUAACUUAUCAAUGCCUUUUAUGAUUCGUCUGGUUUUUUAGUUUUUAUGUAUUUGUCAUGCAGAAAGCUAGGAUCCAAAUUUGGCUAUAUGAACAGAAAGAUCUGGACACUGAAAAAAUAUUAAUUGUUCAAGAAUUCCUGGUGUUCUCUUUGACCUUAUGUUGAUUUAGAGUACAAAAAAUACAGAGGUAAUUACUUUUCUAUUAUCUGCUUGAGGGCUUUGUCUUCGUCAUUUACUUAUCGCCGUUAGCGUUAAAAAGAAGUUUGUGUCAUGUUUGUUGCUUUUAUAUGGCUUGCAAGUUUUGUCUGAAUGACAAGGUGAAGAGAGAGAGAAGCGUCGGUCGCGCUACGUCGGUGCCGCCAUUAGAGAGAAACUGUUUUUAUUGGCAGCAGAGCAGACAAGAAACAACAUGGAGAGUAAUAAUGAAGUCUAUGCUAUGUUAAAAGGUUUGAAUUCUUGGACAUGGUGGUGAUGCACGAAGUGUUAUUGUGGGCACAAGGAAGGUUUGUGACCAGACAACCUUUUUUUUGGUUCUAAAAGUUCCUCUCAUUGCAGGGCUUGUGAGGAACAUAUACUUCCCGUUUGACAUAGAAAGCGACAUAGCAAUUAGCGUUGCAAGAGAGAUGGUGGAAGAGCUGGAGAUGGACGACCAUGAUGUGACAAAGAUAGCUAACAUGAUCGAUGGAGAGAUUGCUUCUCUGGUUCCUGAUUGGAGAUCAGGCCUAGGGUUUGAGAGCAGCUUUUGCAACUGCGCCUCGAACCGGUCAGCUAUAGACUUCAACGUGAGGCAGUGUUGUACAAACAUGUGUGGAGAGAAGCAUGGACGGUUUGAGGAGAUCACUUUGGGACUACACAACUUUGGCAAAGCUUUAUAUUCCCAUGGAAAAAUGACAUUUUCGCUGUCUUUUGUUAAUAUGUGUAGAAUUAUUUACAGUAAUGUUGUCAAACCAAGAAAUAUCACAGUAAUUAUUUAA